rnacentral:rRNA from 1 species
AGAGCGAACGCUGGCGGCAGGCUUAACACAUGCAAGUCGAGCGGGCGUAGCAAUACGUCAGCGGCAGACGGGUGAGUAACGCGUGGGAACAUACCUUUUGGUUCGGAACAACACAGGGAAACUUGUGCUAAUACCGGAUAAGCCCUUACGGGGAAAGAUUUAUCGCCGAAAGAUUGGCCCGCGUCUGAUUAGCUAGUUGGUGAGGUAACGGCUCACCAAGGCGACGAUCAGUAGCUGGUCUGAGAGGAUGAUCAGCCACAUUGGGACUGAGACACGGCCCAAACUCCUACGGGAGGCAGCAGUGGGAAUAUUGGACAAUGGGCGCAAGCCUGAUCCAGCCAUGCCGCGUGAGUGAUGAAGGCCUAGGGUUGUAAAGCUCUUUUGUGCGGGAAGAUAAUGACGGUACCGCAAGAAUAAGCCCGGCUAACUUCGCGCCAGCAGCCGC